CCUACGGGAGGCAGCAGUGAGGAAUAUUGGUCAAUGGACGAGAGUCUGAACCAGCCAAGUAGCGUGAAGGAUGACUGCCCUAUGGGUUGUAAACUUCUUUUAUAAAGGAAUAAAAUGAGGCACGUGUGCCUUUUUGCAUGUACCUUAUGAAUAAGGAUCGGCUAACUCCGUGCCAGCAGCCGCGGUAAUACGGAGGAUCCGAGCGUUAUCCGGAUUUAUUGGGUUUAAAGGGAGCGUAGACGGGUUGUUAAGUCAGUUGUGAAAGUUUGCGGCUCAACCGUAAAAUUGCAAUUGAUACUGGCAGUCGUGAGUACAGUUGAGGUAGGCGGAAUUCGUGGUGUAGCGGUGAAAUGCUUAGAUAUCACGAAGAACCCCGAUUGCGAAGGCAGCUUACUAAACUGUGACUGACAUUGAUGCUCGAAAGUGUGGGUAUCAAACAGGAUUAGAUACCCCAGUAGUC
rnacentral:rRNA from 1 species